GUCGGCAGCUGGGCCGCAGGGGGAGCCCCGGCGGGGCGGGGUGGGGCGAGGAUGGCAGCGGCCUCAUCUUCGGCUUGAGGGAAGUAGGCGCUGCGAUCUGCCGGGGUUCCGUUAUCCCCUUGCUGAGAGAGCAGCUUUGCCGUUCUGUCACGGGACACGCAACAAUACUCCAAAUAACCGGGAAGCCAUUCUAAAACGGACUAAGGCCAGGGAAGUGAUGCAAACUAUUCAAAAGGAGCUGCCAGAUGUCCAAAAUAAUCAGGCAGAAAACCAAUCUGUGUGCUACGACAGCAAUCUCAGCUCCUACCUCUGCACCAAAGACACGGCCCUUACAGGCUACAUGUGUUUUCCCUGCAGCUGGGUGAGCACUUACCCAGAGAACUGAAAUAAUGGUUCAGUGGCAAGAACAAAACAUGGAAUCGAGCCCUUGGAGUGUAGCAAAGAAGAUUGGAUCCGUGUGUAACUUCCAUUAAGAGGGAAGAUGGGUGUGCCCAGGGAGAAGGUUUUGGUCUUGCCUAUGGUCAUGAGGUGGGAGAGAGCUUGUGAAGGAUGACAGCAAGCAACUACAUAGCAACUAUUUAGAAGCUUUGGAGAUGCUUUAGUUUUGCCGACUUAGACUUUUGUCAAUGUUUGUGGCUGUUUAUCUGACAUGGAUUGGGGCAUUUCCUAUAAACUCCAUGGCUCAGGAGUUACCAAGCCUACCAGGUAAGUCCAGGAGAGCUCAGCACCAUCCACAGUUACAGCUCUGCUGCAGCCACAUUAAAGAUUUUCUUUUCUCUGGGGGAAACACCCAACUACUGAAAUCCUACCACCAUGGUGACCAGCAAUAAGGGAUCUCAUUUCCUGUGCUAACUACUGUCUGGGUCAAAGAUUAAACUCAACACACAGGACUGAAUGAAAAAAGCCAAAGUUUGGGUAAGGGCUGAACUCCUUAAAAGACAAGUCUGUGGUGUACAAAAGCUUUAGGUGAUACCAGAUGACCUCAUGAGCAAAAGGCAUGGCCAAUGCCAACGUACAGCUUACAAGGCUUUCUCAGUUUGCAUGUUAUAGACUGCAAAUUGUGUGGAGAUGCUGAAAGUGAAAGUUCCUGCCUUAAACAAAAAGCCACAGUGAUUUCUGACCCAGAACAUGAGCCUCCCUUCUAGACAGCUGAGAUCUCUGUAUGCUCGUCCCCAUCCUCACUGAGGUAUCUGGUAAGUUAUAGCAGACAUCCAGACCCACGAAGCAGUCUUUGUUGUUCAGCCAUCAACAUGGAUAUUCCCCAGUACCGAAGCUGUGGCUGAUCACUGUGAAUGCACUUCCAAACAUGUGGUAUACCAGCAGAGGAAGAUUUUUCUUGCCCUCCCUCCUUUAUUUUGUUGAAUAAAAAGGAAAUGCUCACACACACAUCACCACUACAGAUCUACAGCUUCCGUUACCUGCCUUUAAAAGGAACAUGCUGCUGCGGUCUUGCAGCUUCAGGAAAACCCUGUGACACGCUGCAGGCUGGCAAGCUGCUGCUCACAGCUGGCUGCAGGCAGAGGCCUUGCUGUUAGUCUCUGCUCUGCAGCAGAUGGGGAGGGCAGGGAGGAGAGUUCCUUGUAACCACAGAAGGCUUGAGAUGCCUAUAAAUGUUUUGCAUGUGUUUGUGGAGUGCAUUUGUCGCUGCUGUGAAUUACAGACACAGAACAGGGAAAAAUCUUUUCUUCUCCCUUCAAGGACAAAAGUGUCCAGUCCAGUCAUAGCUUCUAAUUUUACCUUUCUGUUGCCAAGUACAUUGCAGAGUCUCAAAUCAGUGGGUUUUGCAUGUUUCUGUGAUGUUGUUUGGCAGCAUUGAUAAUUGUGGCAUUUUUAACAACUCUAAAGCAUUUUAAGAAGAGAAAACAUCGCAGUGGUUUCGUUUGCGUGCUCCUCUUACCACAUGUGGCUGUUUCACUGCAUGUGUUUAUCGGUUACCAGGGCAACGUUUUCAGAUCUAGCAUGAUUACCUGUAUCAUAGCACUCAUCAGAGCUGUGGGCAAACUUUGGAAACUUCUACAUUGAGGAAAUGCUGCUAGUUGCUAGGAGGCAGGAGUUUGCAAAAGCUGUCUCAAUGAAAAUGCUGCUGGUAUCACAUGCUUAUGUCAAUGGCUUUGAAAUGUCCUGAAAUUAUCAGAUUGCUUGGAGUACAUUUUACUAUAAAUAUAUUAGAGUCAAGAAAAUAGCUGCUUAAUCAGUGUAUUAUUAGAGUCAUAUAGAUGUGCUUGCUUAAAAUAAACCA